rnacentral:lncRNA from 10 species
GUUGCCGUAGUGCAGGUGGGAUUGCCAGGUGCCAGGUGCCCCUACUGCAGCCUGCACGGAGGGGACCGUCAUUUUCAGACUGUCCUUUUAGCAGGACUUCAAUGUCAGGCCUCCAAAGAAGUCUACAAAUUCCAUCAGUCAGUAACGGCUUGGAGUUCCAAAGCUUAUGACUCAAAGGUGAUCAGAGCAUGGACCUGGGGCUAGUCUGGAUUGGUAACUGCUAAACUUGGAUACAUGGCUUCUGAUGGCCCUGCUGGGGAGACCAUGUGGAGAGAUGGCAUAGAGCCAGAGAUUCACGUUCCAGGAGCCCUGACUGUCUCAUCUCAGGGAAUUGAAUCUCCUUGUGCUCCAGACCCUAUGAGAGGAUGCCAUCCCCUGCUACCAUCUGACUGCAACCUCAGGAGACACCCCAAGCCAGAACUGAGCAGCCAAGCCACUCUCAUAUUCUUGACCCAUAGACAUUGGGAGAUAAAAACUGAUUGUUGUCAAUUUUAGUCAGUACAUUUUAGGGCAAUUUGAUGUCCUAGCAAUAGACUAGUAUAUUUAUCCAUUGCUGCAUCUUCUUCUGCUUAGAUUAUGAUGCAUGUUUUUUAGCUCCAACUAGUAUCUAAACUUGUCAUGGUCUUUGCUUGAAAGUUUGA